rnacentral:misc_RNA from 1 species
UCCGAGUUGUCCCCGGCAGUCCUCUUAGAGUCCCCAGCAUUACCUGAUGGCAACUAAGAGCAGGGGUUGCGCUCGUUGCGGCACUUAAGCCAACACCUCACGGCACGAGCUGACGACAGCCAUGCAGCACCUGUGCUAGCCCCUUACGGACACGGGCUUUCACCCGCUUUAACUAGCAUGUCAAACCCAGGUAAGGUGGGGAUGACGUCACACGCAAUAACA